CAUGGAGGGUGAGAAUCCCGUUCUUGGCAUGGACUCCCGAGGCUAUGUGAUGCGCCCUCAAAGAGUCAAGUUGUUUGGGAAUGCAGCUUAAAAUGGGAGGUAAAUUUCUCCUAAGGCUAAAUAAUGGCGAGAGACCGAUAGCGAACAAGUACCGUGAGGGAAAGAUGAAAAGAACUUUGAAAAGAGAGUUAAACAGUACGUGAAAUUGUUGAAAGGGAAACGAUUGAAGUCAGUCGUACCGGCGGGUAAUCAGCCUUUUGAGUGUGAUUAUGUGGAACGUGAAGAGUUUAAUAGCCUUCAUGUCUGCAUAUUCGUACACUUUGGGUGUAUUUGCUCGUGUGGUAGGUUAACAUCAAUUUCGAAUGUCAUAAAAUGACUGGAGGAAUGUAGCUUCGAUCUCGGUUGAAGUGUUAUAGACUCUGGUAGAUGUGAUGAACGAGAUUGAGGAUUGCAACGGAUACCUUUCGGGGCUACCUGUCUGAUCUCUGAGAGUUACUCUGGUGCUAAAAGCGAGCUUAUGGUAUCAAAGUUGACGUUCAAUAGGACAGAAUGGGUUAAAUUCGUUAAGGAUGUUGACGUAAUGG
rnacentral:rRNA from 1 species